UUUAUUCCGUAGGGUAACCCUAAAUUUGAAUAUGUCGUUGCUCUUGAACCGUUGUAUUUUUAAACGUUUUUUGUCGUGAUUUGUGCUGUUACAAAAUAAUAAGUUAGUAAAAAGACUGUUAAUUCAACCGCUUUGUGUGUGUAGUUUUGCUAUUUUAGUGUUUAGCUUUACGAAAUUGUCACCAAUGUCAGGCUAUAGAAAUCUAGAAGCUACAAACUGGACAUAAAAAUUAAACCUGACAAUUGACAAUUCCUUGAUUUGCUGAAAAAGCCGGAAAUUGAGGGAUAUGCGAGCUUCGUUGAUGAUUUAGGAGGGAGCGGUGUUUUUUUUUUAAUAAAAAAAUAGACAUCAAAAUGGUGGAAGGAGACAGUAAAGGGACUAUUGACACAGUGCAAGUUGCACUUAGGAUUAGGCCGUUGAUGCAAUUGGAGACUGAUAGGGGAUGUGAGGAGUGCAUUGAUGUGGUUGCUGGGCAACCUCAGGUCCAGAUAAAAGACUUGGCAUUCACAUAUAACUAUGUGUUUCCUCAACACAUCACACAGCAGGAGUUCUAUGAUACUGCUGUCAAAGGGCUCAUAGGAAAACUCUUUCAAGGGUAUAAUGUAACAAUACUAGCGUAUGGCCAGACUGGCUCUGGCAAGACUUAUACUAUGGGAACCAACUAUUCUGGAUCUGAUGGUGAUUCCACUAAACUUGGUGUAAUACCCCAAGCAGUGGCGGACAUAUUUGACUUCAUAGAGACACAUGAAGAUAAGUUCAUAUUCAAAGUGAAUGUUUCCUUCAUGGAGUUGUACCAGGAGCAGUGCUACGACUUGCUCUCAGGGAAGGAGAGGGGACACAGUAUUAUAGAGAUUAGGGAGGAUAUUAAUAAGGGGGUGAUACUGCCAGGUAUAACUGAGCUCCCAGUGACCUCAACAAUGGAGACUAUGAUGGUAUUGGAGCGAGGGUCGUCAGGCCGUGUGACAGGAUCCACUGCUAUGAACCAGGCGUCCAGCAGAAGUCAUGCCGUCUUCACCAUCGUGAUCUGUAAAGAAAGUAGGAGUGAUAAAAACUUAGCAACUACUUCAAAGUUCCACCUAGUAGAUCUAGCAGGAUCUGAACGUAUUAAAAAGACGAAGGCGAGUGGUGAACGGCUUCGGGAAGGCGUUAAGAUCAACCAAGGUUUAUUAGCGCUCGGCAAUGUGAUCUCAGCUCUAGGAGAUGGAACCAACAGGAGUUUCAUCAGCUACAGAGAUAGUAAACUUACUAGAUUGUUACAAGACAGUUUAGGCGGUAACUCGCUCACUCUAAUGGUGGCGUGUGUGAGUCCUGCUGACUACAACUUGGAUGAAACAGUCUCCACGCUGCGGUACGCUGACCGCGCGCGAAGGAUACGCAACAAACCUAUCAUCAACCAGGAUGCUAAAGCCGCUGAGAUUGUUCGGCUGAACAACUUAGUGAACGAACUAAGACUGCAAUUACUAGGCAAGAUGCCGACCAUCUCAGAACAGAACAACGAACAACUACAAGAAGAAUUGGACAGAGAACGAGCUAGAUACCAAGAGUUACUCAAAAAGCACAAACAAGUUACCGAACAUCUCAGUAACAUGUUGAUUGAAAACACGAACCUCUGCGAAAAGGCUUUACUCGCAGAAGCAGCCAAAGACAAGAUAGAGCGGAAGCUAAACGAGCUCACAGAGCAAUGCAACCAGACCAUAGAGAACUUGAAUACCACAGACAAGGAUGAUGAACACCAGAAGACAACGGUUGUGGACUAUUUGAAAGAAAUUAAGUGCCGUUUGGAAGAUCUACAGUCUGUUAACUUGAAGACUAAUGAAGAGUUGAUCGAUCAUGAGAUUAAGCUGUCGUUUGUCAAUGAUGGUGACCAUGAGAAGGCGGAUGAUGAUAUGCCGAUGAAUGAGGAUCAAGCUGUGCUGGAGGAAGAAAAGAGAGCUAUGGGACAGGUGGCACUGAACCAAGAACUUCAAGAGCUCAACCGUGCGAUGGCAAUCAAGGCGUCCGUAGUUCAAGCCAUACUUGCUAACAACAAGGAUAUGCUGGAGAACCACAAGAACCUGCGAGAGAAUGAGGAGAAGAUUGCUCAUCUAGAGAAGGAAAGAGAUGAGCUGUUGCAGCAGUUGAAGCAGACUAAGAGCAAAGACCCAUCUCACGAGGAGCGUCGCACCAAAGUCUCGACCCUAGAACAACAGAUCUCCGAGCUGAAGAAGACUUGUCAGCAACAGGCUCAUAUCAUUAAGACUAAGGAGAAGAACGAGGCUAAGAUAGCUGCACUCAAUGCUGAGUUACAGGCCAUGAAGGCUACUAAGGUGAAAAUAAUAAAACAAAUGCGCGAAGAAAGCGAGAAGUUCCGUAAAUGGAAGGCGGACAACGAGCGCGCCAUGUUGCGCCUGCGCAACGAGGAUCGCAAGCGUGCUACUGCCAUGGCCAAGAUGGAGAACCUACAUGCCAAGCAACAGAAUGUGCUCAAACGGAAAAUGGAGGAAGCUGUUGCUGUUAAUAAGAGGCUUAAGGAAGCCCUAGAACGGCAGAAGUUCUCGCAGAUGAAGCGCAAUGCUAAAGGCAGCGUGAAGGCGGGCGCGGUACAGCAGUACAUUGAACAAGAACUCGAGGUACAUCUCAGUAUUGUGGAGGCUGAGAAGUCGCUAGAGGAACUGAUGGAGUACAGGGCCUGGAUAACAGAGCAAAUAGAAAACCUACGUAACAGCACAGACGAGGAAGCGAAUAGGAAGAAGAUUGCUGAACUAGAAGAUGACCUGGCGCUGCGUAAGGCGCAGAUAUCUGAUCUGCAGCAAAAGAUUCUGACCGCUGACCAAGAAAACAAAUCCCGCACCCAAUGGGACAACAUCCAAUCCAUGUUAGAAGCAAAGGUCGCUUUAAAAUGUCUGUUCGAGUUGUUAGUGGACGCUAAGAGGGAGUUCACUAAUCAGAGUGAGAAAGGAUACCAAGCCAGAUACGAGGAGAUCAAGGAAGCUCACGAUAGACUCGCCAUGGAUUUCGAGAAUAGUAAGGCGGAGUUUGAGAGGCAGUUGUCCGUUGUUAAGCUGCAGAGUGAGCAAAAGUUAUCAGCCCUCGUGGCACUUCAGCGCGGCGUAGUAGGCAAAGGCGACAAGAGCGAGGCCUGCAAACAUCUGCAAAACGUCAUCCAAUACCAACAGGAGAGGCUGGAGCAAGUCGAGGAGGAAAAUAAAAAGUUGGUAGACGAGCUAGAACAGCUUCGGUCGGCUGGUAAGAAGGCCAAGAAGCGUCCAAAGAAGGAGAAGGAAGAAGUGGAACCUGUCAAGAAGGUGGAGUACGUGGAACCUACUGAUGAGGAGGAUGACGAGUUUGAGGACAGGAACAAGGAUCCUGACUGGAGAGCCACGCCGUUGUUCAAACGUAUACAGGCCCAACGUUCCCGUCUAACGAUGAACUUCACGCAAGCGGACGUGUCAGUGGGCACGGAGCCGACGCGCGCCGUGAAGCGAGGCAGCGACGGCGCCGCGCACUGCACCUGCCGCGGGUCCUGCUCCACCAAGAUCUGCGGCUGCGUCAAGUCUGACAAGGGAUGUGGAACCACUUGUAGGUGCCAGCCCGAGCUCUGCAAGAACAGGAGGGUCUCGUCCGAUAGCGAGGAUAAGGAGAAUAAUCCAUCAAGCACGGAGCUAUCUCUAGACACAACACCACCAUCAUACUUCGACAAGCGAUUCCAAACAUCAGAAGAACUAAAUACCUCAACCGAAUCAAACUUACCCGGGCCUUCGUUGAGAAUAGAACCGGUGCCAAGAAGGACUAGACCUUUACGGCCUGUAGCGAACAAUUCUACACAGAAAUGGAUGUAUGCACUACUGGUAUACAACACUUGUGUUGCACCGAUGUCUUCGUACUGCGCCAACAAUAUACUGCAGUAUGGCAUGGAUGCCGCCAAGUACAAUGUGAUAGCUAACAUCUUCAAAUACCUGAUGAAAGAGAGGACACCUUGAUGCUACGUUCGUUAAGAAGAAGAAAAGUUACUUCUUCCCGCAUGAUCAGGCGAAUGGCGGCGAAAAUGCAAUAAAGACUGACUAAUCUUCCUGGGCCUAUGAAACAUAGCAGUAACUAAUUAUUAACUUUAGUACUUUACAAUAAUGCGAAAUUAAAGUGCCUCAUAUUGUUAUCAAUUUACACGUUACACUAUAAACGACCCUAUUGUAUACUAAAUUAGGUGUAAAAUGUAUUGACAUGUAAUUUUAAAUAUUUUAUUAUUUUACUCCCGACUGGGUUUUGAAGUCGCCACAAAAUUACGCGUGAACGAAAUCCAGUCUGCUAAUGACAUUUUGUUUUAUAAAUUAGUGGAGUAGAGCUCCUAAUAAAUAUUUAUUAUAUA